rnacentral:lncRNA from 1 species
GUGGGACCCUCUUCUGAUAUGUGAUCUACAGCCAGCUCCGUUGAGUCGUACGAUGACAAUGUUAUCACUGCCACAUCUCUGGGAACCAGUUAUUCAUAAGGAUACGACCUCCUCUCAGCUGUUGUACGCCUGCAAAAACCAGCCUCUUAUUAAAAAGGGAAAGUCCAUAGUCUUGUGGACCUUCUGCGAUGUGCUCGGCGCGCGAGCUCUUGACUUCGUGCAGAGGAGAAGAGCCUGUGUCAAACGCCUUUCAUUUGCAUGUGGCAAGAUAGAAAAAGCAAACCCUGUGUGA